AUUGAACGCUGGCGGCAGGCUUAACACAUGCAAGUCGAGCGGGGGAAGGUAGCUUGCUACCGGACCUAGCGGCGGACGGGUGAGUAAUGCUUAGGAAUCUGCCUAUUAGUGGGGGACAACAUCUCGAAAGGGAUGCUAAUACCGCAUACGUCCUACGGGAGAAAGCAGGGGAUCUUCGGACCUCGCGCGAAUAGAUGAACCUAAGUAGGAUUAGGUAGUUGGUGGGGUAAAGGCCUAACAGGGCGACGAUCUGUAGCGGGUCUGAGAGGAUGAUCCGCCACACUGGGGCUGAGACACGGCCCAGACUCCUACGGGAGGCAGCAGUGGGGAAUAUUGGACAAUGGGGGGAACCCUGAUCCAGCCAUGCCGCGUGUGUGAAGAAGGCCUUAUGGUUGUAAAGCACUUUAAGCGAGGAGGAGGCUACUCUAGUUAAUACCUAGGGAUAGUGGACGUUACUCGCAGAAUAAGCACCGGCUAACUCUGUGCCAGCAGCCGCCGUAA
rnacentral:rRNA from 1 species